rnacentral:lncRNA from 1 species
UAUCUCUCUUUAUAUAUAGAGAGAGAGAGUUAAGCUGGAAUACUAUCAAUAGUAAACGGGUUCCGUUGCCACCCAUUUGUUUUCGAUGAUAGAGCCUCCAAAUCGACGAUCAGUACCGUUGAAAAUGAUCUAUACCACUUGAAGUAUCUAGAAAUCAAAUUUCAUACUUUUUCGAUAUUGUUCUCUUGUUCAUCAAGUGGGCGUAAAAAUGAACAGCUGAAAAUAAAUAUUCUCUAAAAAGUGAUGAUAGGAAUUUUGUAAUCAAGAUCGAGAGUAUAGAUCUUGUUCUAAGUAGUUUAAAGAAUUUUCUAACCAAAAUUCAAUUGAUUUGGAUAGCGUUAAAUGAGAAAACGCCUCAUAUCGACCCUUAAAAUUACAAAUUUUGAAACCCUUUGAUCAUUAGGUCAAUGAUGUCGAAAAGAUUUGAAAUUUGAUUUUUAGAUACUUUAAGUGAUAUAGAUCAUGUUCAACGGUGCCGAUCGUCGAUUUGAAGGCUCCAUCAUCGAAAACAAAUAGGUGGCAACGGAGCCCGUUUGCUAUCGAUAGCAUUCCAGCUCAACUAUAUAUAUAUAUAUAUAUAUAUAUAAAAGGUGGAUGGUCAAAUGUCGAGAAUGGAGACUAUAUAUAUUUAGCCUUUAAAUUUUAUCUCAUAUGUAAAAUAUGAUUGUGAUGCCCCACUUUUCGUGGAGUCAUCCAUCCUAGGACUACUAUAGUUCUAACAUACUUAACUCUCUGAACCUCUUGGGUCUAGUUACCACCCAAAAUAUUAUAGUUAUGUUAAAAAUUUUAGUUUUAUUAUAUAUUAUAUAUGAGAUUAUCUGGGGUCUCAUAUUCUUUCUCUUUUUUAAGUUUUGACGUUCUCGUCAGGCUCAAACUUACAAGUAUCAGGCGAUGUGAUACUUGUCUUGCUAGUCUCAACCAAUUCUGUGAGUAGCCGUGCUUUACUCACAAUAGUCAUCAGUAUAAGAGUCUCACUCUUCCCGCCGUAUAAUUUGGCUCAACUGAGACUUAUCUCACACUUCUGGAUGAUACUUGGCUCAUAUACCAAAAAAAAGGGGCAUUUUUUUGUUGAUCUAGUUUUCUUUUUUGAGAGAUAGGUAGCACGUUAUCCGGUUCGUUUAUUUUAUUUAGAAAUAAACUUAGCUAGAAAUGUGAAUCAACUAGGAUUCGAACUUGGGUCUCGGAUACCAACCACCAAGCCCUUUGCCACUUGCUCUAGGGACGAUCGGUGUUGAUCUAGUUUUCAAAAUUGACCUUUUUUCAAAUAGCUUUAUAAAAAAGACUCCGUGGUGUCACAAUAUAUU